UAGGCGUACGGGUGAGUAACACGUGGAUUAUCUACCUCUUAGUGGGGAAUAACUCUGGGAAACCGGAGCUAAUACCGCAUAAGCCUGGAAAGGGAAAGCAGCAAUGCGCUGAGAGAGGAGUCCGCGGCCGAUUAGCUAGUUGGCAGGGUAAAAGCCUACCAAGGCUAUGAUCGGUAGCCGGCCUGAGAGGGCACACGGCCACACUGGCACUGAAACACGGUCCAG
rnacentral:rRNA from 1 species